UACGUAGGGUGCGAGCGUUGUCCGGAAUUAUUGGGCGUAAAGAGCUUGUAGGCGGUUUGUCGCGUCUGCCGUGAAAUUUCGGGGCUCAACCCCGAACUUGCGGUGGGUACGGGCAGACUAGAGUGUGGUAGGGGAGACUGGAAUUCCUGGUGUAGCGGUGAAAUGCGCAGAUAUCAGGAGGAACACCGAUGGCGAAGGCAGGUCUCUGGGCCGAUACUGACGCUGAGGAGCGAAAGCGUGGGGAGCGAACAGG
rnacentral:rRNA from 1 species